rnacentral:rRNA from 1 species
GGCUCAGGAUGAACGCUAGCUACAGGCUUAACACAUGCAAGUCGAGGGGAAACGAUAGAGAAAGCUUGCUUUUUCUAGGCGUCGACCGGCGCACGGGUGAGUAACGCGUAUCCAACCUGCCCAUCACUUGGGGAUAACCUUGCGAAAGUAAGACUAAUACCCAAUGACGUCUCUAGAAGACAUCUGAAAGAGAUUAAAGAUUUAUCGGUGAUGGAUGGGGAUGCGUCUGAUUAGCUUGUUGGCGGGGUAACGGCCCACCAAGGCGACGAUCAGUAGGGGUUCUGAGAGGAAGGUCCCCCACAUUGGAACUGAGACACGGUCCAAACUCCUACGGGAGGCAGCAGUGAGGAAUAUUGGUCAAUGGGCGAGAGCCUGAACCAGCCAAGUCGCGUGGAGGAAGACUGCCCUAUGGGUUGUAAACUCCUUUUACCUGGGAAUAACGGGCGCUACGUGUAGCGCUGUGCAUGUACCGGGAGAAUAAGCAUCGGCUAAUUCCGUG